rnacentral:rRNA from 1 species
GUGGGGGAUAUUGCGCAAUGGGGGCAACCCUGACGCAGCAACGCCGCGUGAAGGAUGAAGGUUUUCGGAUUGUAAACUUCUUUUAUUAAGGACGAAUUUUGACGGUACUUAAUGAAUAAGCUCCGGCUAACUACGUGCCAGCAGCCGCGGUAAUACGUAGGGAGCAAGCGUUGUCCGGAUUUACUGGGUGUAAAGGGUGCGUAGGCGGCUUUGCAAGUCAGAUGUGAAAUCUAUGGGCUCAACCCAUAAACUGCAUUUGAAACUGUAGAGCUUGAGUGAAGUAGAGGCAGGCGGAAUUCCCCGUGUAGCGGUGAAAUGCGUAGAGAUGGGGAGGAACACCAGUGGCGAAGGCGGCCUGCUGGGCUUUAACUGACGCUGAGGCACGAAAGCGUGGGUAGCAAACAGGAUUAGAAACCCUAGUAGUCCC